AUAUUUAAUCAAUUUUUUUUAAUCUUCUCUCUAACGUUUUCAAAGAGAAUUUUUCUCUCUUUUUUAGAUUGUCAUUGGUGAGACACUCGGCCUCUUGGUCUGCUGUGUAGCGGUUUCCCCUGCUCCUUCUUCCCUUGUCCUAGAUGUGGGUCUCCUCUCCUCUUGUGGGAUCGAAGGGUCGUUUACGUUCUUCUUUUGAAGGAGUUGGAUGAACUAUGGAUGGUUUUGCUUUGGUUAUACCAGUCCCAAAAGAAGUGAACCCCUUUUUGGUUCAGAUCUAUGGUUGCAUGUGCAUGUGGCUGUUGUUUCAUGGAGCUAUGGGUUGUCUUCUCUUCUGAGCUUCAGUUUGCCUUCAUAUGGUCUUAUUGCUACUACCGGAGAUCCUUUUCAAAACCUCAGUAUAGGUUAUUUUCUUAGGCAACCGGUGAUUCCAAAGGAGCAAGACAUUGGUAGAGUCUUUGCAAUUAGGUCUUGACUCAGGUGAGAAGGCUCGUAGAUCAAUUUCCUACACUUGCUUUCCUCUGCUCUAGCGAAGAAAGGCAUGAAGAUGACUAGCGGAGCAGAGCUCGAAGAAAGGCGCAAUUGGAUUACCGAAGAGUGCAUCCCCAUCACUUUUUUGCUAGAGCCACUUGAUCUGUGGAGUUGUAGUUGAUCUGGAUGGUUAAGAUUUAUGUGGUUACAUCGUUCUAUUAUCUGGUUCUGGUGGUUAUUUGUGUUUUUCAAGCUAAGUUUCUCCUCUUUGGUGGUUUUGGUUUGCUAAGUGUGGUAUCAUUUCCUUUGACUUCAGUUGGUCUGUUAUGGUUGUUUCGGCUACGAUAAGAGAUCUUCCAAGCUCUAUGGUUUCAUUUUCUAGCAGCCAGUGCAACCAGGAUGAGGAACAACGCAGCAAACAUUUCUUCCACUGAAUAUGAGUUUCAGGUCGUCUGAAUUGGGUAUCUAGGUUCUCUGUUCUUGGGCCUAAAGGCCUAUAUUUUUAUUACAUUAGGGCCUUGACCUUUUAUCAUAU